GAUGAACGCUGGCGGCGUGCCUAAUACAUGCAAGUCGAGCGAACAGAUGAGGAGCUUGCUCCUCUGACGUUAGCGGCGGACGGGUGAGUAACACGUGGAUAACCUACCUAUAAGACUGGGAUAACUUCGGGAAACCGGAGCUAAUACCGGAUAAUAUAUUGAACCGCAUGGUUCAAUAGUGAAAGACGGUUUUGCUGUCACUUAUAGAUGGAUCCGCGCCGCAUUAGCUAGUUGGUAAGGUAACGGCCUACCAAGGCAACGAUGCGUAGCCGACCUGAGAGGGUGAUCGCCCACACUGGAACGGAGACACGGUCCAGACUCCUACGGGAGGCAGCAGUAGGGAAUCUUCCGCAAUGGGCGAAAGCCUGACGGAGCAACGCCGCGUGAGUGAUGAAGGUCUUCGGAGCGUAAAACUCUGUUAUUAGUGAAGAACAAAUGUGUAAGUAACUAUGCACGUCUUGACGGUACCUAAUCAGAAAGCCACGGCUAACUACGUG
rnacentral:rRNA from 1 species